rnacentral:rRNA from 1 species
AGCAGCCGCGGUAAUUCCAGCUCCAAUAGCGUAUAUUAAAGUUGUUGCAGUUAAAAAGCUCGUAGUUGAACUUCGGGGUUCACCCCAUUGGCCAGGCUUAAUUGUCUGUACUGGUGAGAUGAGUCUCUACCUUCUGAGGAACUUUCAUGCCAUUUAUUUGGUGUGGCUGGAAAUCAGGACUGUUACUUUGAAAAAUUGAGUGUUUAAAGCAGGCUAACGUCUGAAUACAUUAGCAUGGAAUAAUGAAAUAGGACGGAUUGAUUCUAUUUCGUUGGUUUCUAGGGUCACCGUAAUGAUUAAUAGGGAUAGUUGGGGGCAUUAGUAUUCAAUUGUCAGAGGUGAAAUUCUUGGAUUUAUUGAAGACUAACUACUGCGAAAGCAUUUGCCAAGGAUGUUUUCAUUAAUCAAGAAUGAAAGUUAGGGGAUCGAAGACGAUCAGAUACCGUCGUAGUCUUAACCAUAAACUAUGCCGACUAGGGAUCGGACGCAGUUAAUUUAUAAUGACGUGUUACGGCUAACC